rnacentral:rRNA from 1 species
CAGCAGGUCUCCAAGGUGAAUAGCCUUUGGUCUAUAGAAUAAUGUAGAUAAGGGAAGUCGGCAAAGCUGAUCCGUAACUUUGGGAUAAGGAUUGGCUCUGAAGACUGAGCUGGUCGGGCUUUGGUCUAAUGCAAGUUAUGCAUUGUCAUCAAGACUGGGUCUAGUGUUGUUAAAUUUUUGGAGCAAAGAUGUUAAUCUGUUACAUUAAAUGUGUGCUUGUUUAAGAACAAAAAGUUUAUGUUACAAAAGUGUAACAACUUCUGUAUACAUGAUUUUUUUUUUACCAACACACUAUUUGAUGUACAGAUUGUCUUUGUUUUCGAUUUUUCAAUCAUCUAAUUCUGGACUUGUAUCUUUGCUAACCUGUAGAUAGCCUGAGCUAGACCUUUACAUUGUUACAAAAUGUGUGUAAUUAUGAUUAGGGUAAAACUUAAUUGUAAUGUAACACUUUUGGCACAAUAUAAGAUGUUCUUUCGGCCAGCAAAAAACAGUUGAAUCAGAACUGGCACGGACUUGGGGAAUCCGACUGUCUAAUUAAAACAAAGCAUUGCGAUGGCCGACAAUCGGUGUUGACGCAAUGUGAUUUCUG